AGCGAACGCUGGCGGCAGGCCUAACACAUGCAAGUCGAACGGACCCUUCGGGGUUAGUGGCGGACGGGUGAGUAACACGUGGGAACGUGCCUUUAGGUUCGGAAUAGCUCCUGGAAACGGGUGGUAAUGCCGAAUGUGCCCUUGGGGAAGAUUUAUCGCCUUUAGAGCGGCCCGCGUCUGAUUAGCUAGUUGGUGAGGUA
rnacentral:rRNA from 1 species